UACAGAGGUCCCGAGCGUUGUUCGGAUUCAUUGGGCGUAAAGGGUGCGUAGGUGGCGCCGUAAGUGGGGUGUGAAAUCCCCGGGGCUUAACCCCGGGACUGCAUUUCCAUACUGCGGUGCUUGAGGACUGGAGAGGAGACUGGAAUUUACGGUGUAGCAGUGAAAUGCGUAGAGAUCGUAAGGAAGACCAGUGGCGAAGGCGGGUCUCUGGA
rnacentral:rRNA from 1 species